UGAGGAAUCUUCCACAAUGGGCGAAAGCCUGAUGGAGCAACGCCGCGUGCAGGAUGAAGGCCUUCGGGUCGUAAACUGCUUUUAUAAGUGAAGAAUAUGACGGUAACUUAUGAAUAAGCACCGGCUAACUACGUGCCAGCAGCCGCGGUCAUACGUAGGGUGCAAGCAUUAUCCGGAGUGACUGGGCGUAAAGAGUUGCGUAGGUGGACAAGUAAGCGAAUAGUGAAAUCCGACGGCUCAACCGUACGGACUAUUACUCGAACUGCUUGUCUCGAGAAUGGUAGAGGUAACUGGAAUUUCUAGUGUAGGAGUGAAAUCCGUAGAUAUUAGAAGGAACACCAAUGGCGUAGGCAGGUUACUGGACCAUUUCUGACACUGAGGCACGAAAGCGUGGGGAGCGAACC
rnacentral:rRNA from 1 species